UUAUCAAAACCACUGGCGGGCAAGAGAUUCACCCAUUCCCUCCCAAAUCACACCAACCCCAAACCCUAAAUUGACGCAACCACCUCGCCGGACCACCUCCCUAGCGCCGCCGCACCACCUUCUCAGCACUGCCGGACCACCAGGGCGGCUCAAGGUUAAAGCUGCUAAAGCCCUAGCUGAUUUGCCGAACCUCUUCUCUGAUUUGCCAGGCGGCACUCAGGUUGAGGAACCAAAAUCGUUGUUUGUUGGAGGUGAUCACCGUGUUAUGGCUGAUACAGGGGUGUGUCUUAAAUUUAAGGAUGUGUAAUCGAGCAUACUCAGCCAACUUGUUGUCCUUGUGGGAAGUGGCAUCGGGUACCUUCAUCUUGUGGAAACUUUUUCAAUAAUAUGAGGAAAGGAAAGGUGAACACUGCCCACUGCCUCUGUUUUCCUGGCGACUGUUCGUGGUGUCUACCAAGGUUCCACGUGUGUGGUAUCAGCCAGCACUCAGUUGGGUUCAACAUUCGGAUCAAUGUCAAGACAUGAUUGAAAACCACUCAGGAAGUGGUUAUUGGGCCUAAUAACGGAACUGCUACGUCACAUGAUAACUUUCUACGAGUGAACCUCGUUGGGGACUUUGCUAGCAUUCCUUCCUUUGAAGACUUCUUUCUUGUUAUUCCGAGACAGGGUGGCCGCAAGAUUUGGGAAGGAACUUUUCUAUGUGGAUGCUACUUGAACGAGUGAGGUUCACGUUAGAUGGCCUUGAAUGUGAUAAAAUCAGUGUCAGUUAUGAAGCUUUUAACAACCAGCCAGGUUUCUGCUCUGCACCACAAAUGAGUUGUCUGCACAAUCAAUUAUGGAACUUCUAGGAUAAUGGCAGCGAUCAUGACACGGAUAUGAUGGCAGAUGUUGGCAGCGAUCAGGAAGAUCAUUCGGUUGCUGAAAACAUAGCGAAGCACAUAGAAGUUCCAGGAAGAUCAUCCAAGGUUUCGUUUAAUUGGUUGUUUUAUGUCCGACUUAAACAAAAAUCCGAACUAGUCAACGUUUAGGUACUUUUAUGUGUAUAUAUGUAUACAUCAAUGGUUUGGUAUGUAUUCGGGAAAAUUGGUUAUAGCAGUAA